GACGAACGCUGGCUGCGUGCUUAACACAUGCAAGUCGAACGCUGAAGCCCCAGCUUGCUGGGGUGGAUGAGUGGCGAACGGGUGAGUAACACGUGAGUAACCUGCCCCUGACUUCGGGAUAAGCCCGGGAAACUGGGUCUAAUACCGGAUACGACUAUCGGACGCAUGUCUGGUGGUGGAAAGUUUUUUCGGUUGGGGAUGGGCUCGGGGCCUAUCAGUUUGUUGGUGAGGUAAUGGCUCACCAAGACGACGACGGGUAGCCGGCCUGAGAGGGCGACCGGCCACACUGGGACUGAGACACGGCCCAGACUCCUACGGGAGGCAGCAGUGGGGAAUAUUGCACAAUGGGGGAAACCCUGAUGCAGCGACGCAGCGUGCGGGAUGACGGCCUUCGGGUUGUAAACCGCUUUCAGCAGGGAAGAAGCCUUCGGGUGACGGUACCUGCAGAAGAAGUACCGGCUAACUACGUG
rnacentral:rRNA from 1 species